GUUACUUUUGGAAGUUUAAUUUAAACAAGUAUACAUAUUCCUUACCUUAGGCAACUCCAGGGCAGCCAAUUGAUCCUGUGUUAAAAUGCCUUUGACACUCUGUUUUACAGUUUCCAGUUUCCUUUUAAGACACAGGUUCUGAAUGCAAGUGAAAGUUGCUGCAUCAUUACUUGGAUCACCGCAUGCAUCUGACGUUGCAUUCUUCCAUAGUGUUUACGUGCAUAGCCGUGGUCACUACCUGUGCAGAAGUAAAGAAGAAAAACCAUUUCAUAGCAAUUAUAGUUGUUAGAAAACUUUUAUUUAUUAUAUCGAAUAUUCCAAUUAUAUUGAACCUUAUAAUUAUUUAAUUGAUAGAAAAAAUAUUACACACUGGAAGUAGGUAUUGCCACAGCUACUUGUGCUGUCUUUUCAUGCGCUGUCCCUGAGAUUUUCUUUGGUGGGUUAGGCACAUCAAAAAGAGUGGGGAUGGCAUCAUGCUUCAGCUUCUUCCACCCAUCUUUUCUGCUCUCGUCUCAAAUUGAGAGUCUUCAAAGUGGACCUUGAAUAGCAAUCCUACUUAUGUAACAUUAUACAUGUGUAUAUCUACGCUGGAACACGUGUGGUAUCCUGAUGUGUAAAUUGAAAAAGACCAGUAGACUAUAAUUUGUAAUCGUUUAGUGGCCCCGAAACGUACGUAAGCAAUGUAAAGUAGUAGAAGAGGAAGCUACGUAAUAGACGCGUCUACACAUGUCGGGUUUGCAUUUAUAUACGUUGUAUGAUUAACCGAUUAUCUGAUUAUAAUCGAUAAUCGAUUGUGUACCACUGAUAAUUGAAGUUGUUUUAUGUACUUACCUGACAGAGUUUGGCAUUUGGUGUAGGAUUCCAUGCCUUGCCAUUUCUUCCACUCCUUCUCGUGUUUAUUCCCCAUCGCUUUCUCCUAUUGUCAUCAGCUGGGAAGAUGACCAUGCGAAAUCUUUUGCUUGGUCUGUUUGUGCAGUUCGGUGCGGAACACCCAGUCAUCUUUUUAGUACUUAUACCCAAUACAUUAUUUAUCUACUAUAACCGACUGAUUAGAAGUGCUCUGUAGACUGUAUGUCGUUUGAUUUAUUCAAUGCUAACAAUAAAAUAUUUUGCCUCGAUUAGGUUAUAAUGUGUUAGAAAUCAAACUUAGGCUUACGUUGACAAUGUAACUGUUAUAUAUCUAGAGUAGAUGGUAUAGGGCUUAUUAGCGUCGUUUUCCUAAUAUUUCUUGUCGUAUUUACUAUUUGUAAAUAAACUGGCAACAGCUUGUAAAAAUGUA